rfam:Hordeum vulgare subsp. vulgare, WGS project CAJW01000000 data, contig: morex_contig_2186776
GUUAUACUACCUCCGUCCGGAAAUACUUGUCCUAAAAUUGAAUAUAAUGAAUGUAUCUAUAACUAAAAUAAGUUAGAUACAUUCAUCUCUAGGACAAGUAUUUCCGGAUUGGAGGGAGUAUUAC